GUAAUAAAAGUGCUUCCAGAAUCACGCAAUAUUGUGAAAGUUUCUCUGAAGACUGCAAAUAUAUUUUUGUAAACAAGAAGCAACCAAAACGUCCAAGUCUAUUGGAAAAUGGGCGAUAGAAUAGAUGGAUACAGCUACUACAUUACGAACGAUAGUGACGAUGAAGAGGGAUGUAUGGAUAGCUCUGAUGAUGAAACUGGCUUUCCUCUUGACGACCAAGUUGAUAAGUUCCUACAUGGAACACCACAGCAGCAGACAAGAGCUCUACAAAGAAUUACUGGUAUAUUUAAAUUAAUAUGAU